GCAACUUCACCACUCGCACAGCCUUUAGUGCCAGGUAGGCUUCAAAUACUCAGCAGCUCAUGACUGAGAGUGAUCUUGUGUGUGUAUGCACCUACCAGUGAGUGAGCCUGUAUGUGUGUAUGUCACUGACAAGCUCAGUGACACACACAUGCUCACUACAGACAAGUUCACUGACACACAUGCUCACUAUACACAAGCUCACAGACACACAUUCUCACUACAGAC